GGGGGGGGGGGGGGGGGGGGGGGGGGGGGGGGGGGGGGGGGGAGGGGGGGGGGGGUUGGUGCGGGGACGUGGGCGGCGGGCGGGUGAGUGACGCGUGGGUAACCUGCCUAGAAGACUGGGAUAACUGCGGGAAAGCGGAGCUAAUACGGGGUCAUAUAUUGAACCGCAUGGUUCAAUAGUGAAAGAUGGUUUUGCUGUCACGUAUAGAUGGGUCCGCGCCGCAUUAGCUAGUUGGUAAGGUAACGGCUUACCAAGGCAACGAUGCGUAGCCGACCUGAGAGGGUGAUCGGCCACACUGGAACUGAGACACGGUCCAGACUCCUACGGGAGGCAGCAGUAGGGAAUCUUCCGCAAUGGGCGAAAGCCUGACGGAGCAACGCCGCGUGAGUGAUGAAGGUCUUCGGAUCGUAAAACUCUGUUAUUAGGGAAGAACAAAUGUGUAAGUAACUAUGCACGUCUUGACGGUACCUAAUCAGAAAGCCACGGCUAACUACGUG
rnacentral:rRNA from 1 species